AACGCGAAGAACCUUACCUGGGCUUGAACCGCACAGGACCAGCUCCAGAAAUGGGGCCUUCCCGCAAGGGACCUGUGUAGAGGUGCUGCAUGGCUGUCGUCAGCUCGUGCCGUGAGGUGUUGGGUUAAGUCCCGCAACGAGCGCAACCCUUACUCAUAGUUGCUACCCGCAAGGGAGAACUCUAUGAGGACUGCUCCGGAUAACGGAGAGGAAGGUGGGGAUGAGGUCAAGUCAGCAUGGCCUUUAUGUCCAGGGCUACACACGUGUUACAAUGCGCGCAACAAAGCGUUGCAAACCCGCGAGGGGGAGCUAAUCGCAAAAAAGCGCGCUCAGUUCGGAUUGCAGUCUGCAACUCGACUGCAUGAAGCCGGAAUCGCUAGUAAUGGCGCAUCAGAACGGCGCCGUGAAUACGUUCCCGGGCCUUGUA
rnacentral:rRNA from 1 species